GCGCUCACUCAGGCAGCACAUAUGCUAACAUUGGAACAAUACAGAGAAAUUUCGCACGGCCCCUGUGCAAAGAUGACAUACAAAUUCAUGAAAAACAAACUUU